UAGAGUUUGAUCAUGGCUCAGAUUGAACGCUGGCGGCAGGCCUAACACAUGCAAGUCGAGCGGCAGCACAGGGGAACUUGUUCCCUGGGUGGCGAGCGGCGGACGGGUGAGUAAUGGCUGGGAACCUGCCCUGAUGUGGGGGAUAACAGUUGGAAACGACUGCUAAUACCGCAUGAUGUCUACGGACCAAAGAGGAGGACCUUCGGGCUUCUCGCGUCAGGAUGGGCCCAGUUGGGAUUAGCUAGUUGGUAGGGUAAUGGCCUACCAAGGCGACGAUCCCUAGCUGGUUUGAGAGGAUGAUCAGCCACACUGGAACUGAGACACGGUCCAGACUCCUACGGGAGGCAGCAGUGGGGAAUAUUGCACAAUGGGCGCAAGCCUGAUGCAGCCAUGCCGCGUGUGUGAAGAAGGCCUUCGGGUUGUAAAGCACUUUCAGCAGUGAGGAAGGUUACGUAGUUAAUACCUGCGUGAUUUGACGUUAGCUGCAGAAGAAGCACCGGCUAACUCCGUGCCAGCAGCCGCGGUAAUACGGAGGGUGCGAGCGUUAAUCGGAAUUACUGGGCGUAAAGCGCAUGCAGGCGGUCUGUUAAGCAAGAUGUGAAAGCCCCGGGCUUAACCUGGGAACCGCAUUUUGAACUGGCAGGCUAGAGUCUUGU
rnacentral:rRNA from 1 species